rnacentral:lncRNA from 1 species
GUCACGACCCGCGACCACCCGCCAAUUUGGUCGGGUCGCGGCGCCGCCGACAGACCGCCGAACGGACAGAGUUUCCCCUGUACGUCCUAGGCGUCGCAAUCAAUACAAUUACAAGAGGUUCCAACCAGGAACAGUAUUUAACAUACAACGAUUGCAUAAGGAAGGUAUCAAAUAACAUAAACACAUCCUAAGUUAUUACAUUCAUUCAUUCAUCUCACUUGAUAUUAUUUACAUUUCUUUUCCUUUCAAAUACAUUUAGACUUCCGAAUACAAUCAAUCAUCACAAGAUUAUUACAAGUUUGAUUCUUUUUUCUUUUCUACAGCCCCUAGCUUGGCUGACUCGGGUACCGCUACCUCUGGUCUCGGUGGUAGGGCGCUAUCUACGGAGCUACGCCCUCGCCUCGCGCCGCCGCGCCGCUCACGUGCAAACCUGUAACACCCCAAAGCAACGUGGGGUGAGAACCAACUCCAUGGUUCCCAGUGGGUACGGCCACCCAAGGGAAAAGCUCGACCGACAGGUCCGAAGGAGGCAACUGCAGGUUAGUUCAAUAAACAGAUAGAUAUGAUAAUAAGAUUAUGCAACUAACAAUACCAUGCAUUGCCUCGUGAUAUGCAAUAUGAAGAUCAUGCAAUAAUGCAACUAUACAACCAACUAGUAGUUCAAUCGAUUACUACUUUCAUCCAAUUAGCAUUUAAGGUUUUCUGUCCUUUACCACUUUUGUCAUAAAGUUUCAUCUACCUUUACAAAACUAACCGCCCGACUCGGUUUUGAGUCAAUCGUCUACGGAGUACCGCGCAAGCCAGGCUCGAGGCGAAGGACGUCUCACUCGCACCUCAGCCUAAUGUCCACUCUACUAGGACUCGACUACCGCUCAUGCCUAAUUUGCAUAAUUCUCGUGAGUACAUUACCCAAUCUACUGACGAGCCAUCUCGAUUCGUAGGGAGCCGUCAUCGGGACCCCACAUAGGCUAUCCCUCGUGACUCAAACUACGAAUCCGAGACCGUCUGCGGGACCCCACAUAGGCUAUCCCUCGGGACCCCAAAUAGGCUAUCCCUAUCCCACGGGACCCCAAAUAGGCUAUCCCACGUGACCAACUCCGGAGCGCACUACUUGUGUGGAGCGACCAUCACAAGCUAGGAACAGACAAUGAGUAUGAUCAAUUCUGUGUCCACGAGAAUAUCUUGUCACUAGGUGUCACGCCCCGAGACCGCUACCAAUUUGGUGCGGUUCGAGCGCGUCGAACAGACGCCGAACGGACAGAGUCUCCCCUGUCCGCCCAAGGCUAAGCAAACGAUCAUGUACAAGGAUUUACCCAGGAAUCAAAUCAUAAGUACACAAUCACAAGAGCACAACAAGUGCUAACAAGUAAGAGCAAGGCACAAGUAUAAAGAAUACAAGUAACGAUAAAGAGAGAAGGUCUAUCUAUUACAUUCAUUCAACCUCUUUAAUACAUCGAUUUACAUUUAAACUGCCAAAUACAACAUGAGUUUACAUUUCCAAAAUGAUUCCUCACACCCUAUACAUCAUCUACUCUCAAGUACAAAAGGGUGGCUCUAAUGCAAAGGAAAGUAAACUAAUGCAUCUAGGGCGCUAAGCCCUUACCACGAUCCUCGCCGUGUGAACUCGCGCUCGGCCCUGUAGUAAAAUGGGGGGUGUGAGAACUAACUUCCUUAGUUCCCAGUGGGUUCGGCCGCCGACUCCGCCGGUCUCCCCACUAGGUCCAAGUGGGCACAAGUAGAUAAACAGAUAGAUAGAUAUGGAAAGCUGUAAGGACAGAAUAGAAAACUACGCUACUAUGCCCGAAUCAUAAAUAUAUGAAUGCAUGUUCAAUGAAAUGGGUAAGCAACUAACUCGUCAUCAUGUCCAAGAAGUAAAGAUAUUUACUUGUUCAUUAAUCUUAUGGCUCACCCGAGGGUUCACCUACUACUCACAUAGCCAUCUCGAUGCGUAGGGAGACUCAACUCAAACUACGAAUCCGAGACCGUCUGCGGGACCCCACAUAGGCUAUCCCUCGGGACCCCAAAUAGGCUAUCCCACGUGACCAACUCCGGAGCGCACUACUUGUGUGGAGCGAAGCGACCAUCACAAGGUAUAAAAGCGACCGUGAGCAAGAUCCAAUCCUCUCCACUCGAGGAUCCCUAUCUCUAGGGUUACUUUCAUCACAAGGUCCAUAGGUUUCAUAUACACUAGGACUCACAUAGAUGCCACUCGUCUUUUGUUUACUAUCAACUAGAUGCCACUCAUUCUUUUGUUUAUUAUCAACUAGAUGCCACUCAUUCUUUUGUUUACUAUCAACUAGAUGCCACUAGUUCUUUGUUUUACUAUUAAACCAACCAUUGAGUCCCAUCUUUCACCUCGGCACUAUAGGAUUCACA